rnacentral:misc_RNA from 1 species
CUGAUUGACACGUACUAGUUGCUCACCAGCCUGCAAGGCCUUCUCAAUUUCAGCUUCACUACGGGCAGCAUCUUCAAUAUUUAUAGGCAGAGUCGGCAUUGCCUUACUGAUGCAAUAUACUUUCCUCACUUGAAUUUCCACCUGUUGCGUAGCACCUUUAAUGGCAACAUUAGGCACGGACACGACUCCUUCAACGUCGACGAUGGACUCGCGGCUCAAUCCAUCGACAUAUUUCACCAUCUGGCGACUAACGAGCUCCGGCUGCUCCGACACGACGCAUUGUACGGUGAAUCCCCUUUCUCUCACCACCAAAAACGCCAUUUUCUUGCCAACAGCACGGAUCGUCUGAAUGCGACCCCGCAGAAUCACAUACUUGUCUUUAAGCUCCCCCGUCAAAGAGCCGACCUGAGUCCAGUUUUCAAUAUCCUUAGCCUCCUUGGAUUGGAGAUCAGAGAGUGGCACAUCGCCAUAGUUAGCGGAAAGCGGGUCGUCCUCGACAUUAAGAGACGAAAUAGCAGCUUCGGCAGCGGCUUCUUGACGACGGCGG